UUUAAUUGAAGAGUUUGAUCAUGGCUCAGAUUGAACGCUGGCGGCAGGCCUAACACAUGCAAGUCGAGCGGCAGCGG
rnacentral:rRNA from 2 species